CUCAGAAUCAACGCUGGCGGCGUGCCUAACACAUGCAAGUCGAACGAGAAAGGGGAGCAAUCCCUGAGUAAAGUGGCGCACGGGUGAGUAACACGUGACUAACCUACCCUGGAGUGGGGGAUAACUGAGGGAAACCUUAGCUAAUACCGCAUAAUACCUACGGGUCAAAGGAGCAAUUCGCUUUGGGAGGGGGUCGCGGCCGAUUAGUUAGUUGGCGGGGUAAUGGCCCACCAAGACGAUGAUCGGUAUCCGGCCUGAGAGGGCGCACGGACACACUGGAACUGAAACACGGUCCAGACUCCUACGGGAGGCAGCAGUGGGGAAUUUUGCGCAAUGGGGGAAACCCUGACGCAGCAACGCCGCGUGGAGGAUGAAGUCCUUCGGGACGUAACUCCUUUCGAUCGGGACGAUAAUGACGGUACCGGAAGAAGAAGCCCCGGCUAACUUCGUGCCAGCAGCCGCGGUAAUACGAGGGGGGCGAGCGUUGUUCGGAAUUAUUGGGCGUAAAGGGUGCGUAGGCGGUUUUGUAAGUCUCAUGUGAAAUCUAUGGGCUCAACUCAUAGACUGCAUGAGAAACUGCAGGGCUCGAGUGUGGGAGAGGUGAGUGGAAUUCCUGGUGUAGCGGUGAAAUGCGUAGAUAUCAGGAGGAACACCUGUGGCGAAAGCGGCUCACUGGACCACAACUGACGCUGAUGCACGAAAGCUAGGGGAGCAAACAGGAUUAGAUACCCUGGUAGUCCUAGCCCUAAACGAUGACUGCUUGGUGUGACGGGUACCCAAUCCCGCCGUGCCGUAGCUAACGCGUUAAGCAGUCCGCCUGGGGAGUACGGUCGCAAGGCUGAA
rnacentral:rRNA from 1 species